rnacentral:rRNA from 1 species
UACGUACCGUCCAAACGUUAUUCGGAAUUACUGGGUUUAAAGGGUACGUAGGCGGCGCUGUUAGUCGGGUGUGAAAGCCCUCGGCUCAACCGAGGAAUUGCGCCCGAUACUGCAGUGCUUGAGGGAGACAGAGGUAAGCGGAACUGAUGGUGGAGCGGUGAAAUGCGUUGAUAUCAUCAGGAACACCAGUGGCGAAAAGCGGCUUACUGGGUCUCUUCUGACGCUGAGGUACGAAAGCCAGGGGGAGCGAAGGGG